AUUGAACGCUGGCGGCAGGCUUAACACAUGCAAGUCGAACGAGUGGCGGACGGGUGAGUAAUGCUUGGGAAUCUAGCUUAUGGAGGGGGAUAACUACGGGAAACUGUAGCUAAUACCGCGUACCGUAGGAUGAGCCCAAGUGGGAUUAGGUAGUUUGUGAGGUAAAGGCUUACCAAGCCGACGAUCUCUAGCUGGUCUGAGAGGAUGACCAGCCACACGGGGACUGAGACACGGCCAGUACUCCUACGGGAGGAAGCAGUGGGGAAUAUUGCGCAAUGGGGGCAACCUGACGCAGCCAUGCCGCGUGAAGGAAGAAGGCCUUCGGGUGGUAAAGUUCGUUCGGUAGCGAGGCGUUAACUACAGAAGAAGCACCGACUAACUCCGUGCCAGCCGCCGCGGUAAUUC
rnacentral:rRNA from 1 species